AAGGGCACCACAAGAACGCGUGGAGCAUGUGGCUUAAUUUGACUCAACGCGGGAAAUCUUACCGGGUCCGGACACACUGAGGAUUGACAGAUAUACGCUCAUUGCAGUCCGCUGCAUGAGCUGAAAGAUGCUAGUUCUUUCAUGAUUAUGUGAUAGGUGGUGCAUGGCCGUUCUUAGUUCGUGGAGUGAUCUGUCUGCUUAAUUGCGUAUCAAUAAUAGAGACCUAGUAUACGCGUGGAUUUCGCGUGGUAGUGACCCCCUGUUUAACGACAGGCGUGUGUCGCACACGCGUACCUACGCACUGGUCUCAGAUAGCAACGAACGUGACCGUAUUCUAUUGUUGCAGUGAAAAUGUGCCUUCUGGGUACGACCCACUGCUUAGUAUAUGUACGUGCUUCGGCGCGAACAAUAUACAUUAAACUAUAGAGACCGCUGUUUCUUCUUUAAACCAGAGGAAGGAUACGGGCAAUAACAGGUCUGUGAUGCCCUCAGAUGUUCCGGGCUGCACACGUGCUACAAUGAUCAUUGCACUGUGCAUCUAACCCAAUGUGCGUGGACGCCGCAUGCAUGUGCUCUUCGGGGUACACGCAUUGCUGUUGCGACCACGCCGAACCUACUUCGAAAGUAAAAUUUCUCAGUGGGUAAUCCAUUAGAAGUAAUGACUCGCAUAGACCAUGGCACAACUAAAUGUACGCGCAGGUUCUACCCGGCUCGCCUUUGUGUGAGUGCAGUGCGUGGCUUGUUGUUUCGUACGUGCCACUCCGUAUUAAUUCGUACGUGGGGAUAGAUCAUUGUUUAAUUGUUGGUCUCGGUCUUAACUAGGAAUGCCUUGUACGGGUCUCUGGUUCAACAUACCACCCGGAAUACGUCCCUGCCCUUUGUACACACCGCCCGUCGCUCUUACCGAUGGGUUAUGCUAUGAAUCUAUAGGACUGCCAAAGUACGCGUUUCGGCGCCGCUUAGUGGAAAUAUAUAUNNNNNNCGUGAUCUAAAGGAAAGAGAAGUCGAACAAGGCA
rnacentral:rRNA from 1 species